rnacentral:rRNA from 1 species
GACGAACGCUGGCGGCGUGCCUAAUACAUGCAAGUAGAACGCUGAAGAGAGGAGCUUGCUCUUCUUGGAUGAGUUGCGAACGGGUGAGUAACGCGUAGGUAACCUGCCUUGUAGCGGGGGAUAACUAUUGGAAACGAUAGCUAAUACCGCAUAACAAUGGAUGACACAUGUCAUUUAUUUGAAAGGGGCAAUUGCUCCACUACAAGAUGGACCUGCGUUGUAUUAGCUAGUAGGUGAGGUAAUGGCUCACCUAGGCGACGAUACAUAGCCGACCUGAGAGGGUGAUCGGCCACACUGGGACUGAGACACGGCCCAGACUCCUACGGGAGGCAGCAGUAGGGAAUCUUCGGCAAUGGGGGCAACCCUGACCGAGCAACGCCGCGUGAGGGAAGAAGGUUUUCGGAUCGUAAAGCUCUGUUGUAAGUCAAGAACGGGUGUGAGAGUGGAAAGUUCACACUGUGACGGUAGCUUACCAGAAAGGGACGGCUAACUACGUG